GCCCUGAGGGCGCUGAGCGGGCAGCCACGCCAGGAGCCAAACCUGCAGAUCCUGGUGAUGCAGCCUGCAAUUCUGGUAACCCCAGACCCGGAUGAGCGAGUGAAGACAUUCAGGACAUCUUCGGGAGUUCCCCAAAGCAAGGGAGAGGCAGGCAGUGGUCCUGCGGGGCUCCCUCGGUCUCACGUUUGACUCCGCUUUGCAUCGCAGCCCAGAGGUCGUCCCUGCCCCAGACGCAUCCCUACCUCCGUGCUCCCACUCCCAGCUCACCGAGGACCCCUGGCACGAUGAGAGCCAAGAAAACCCAGAGGGGGCCGGCGGAGCCCAUGCCACGGCUCCAACCCCAGCGGCGUGAUGCGUUCUGAGACCCGCGAGCCUCCGGCAGCUCCGGUAGGACAGGGCAGGAGAAGGCGGCAGCUGCAAACAAGAGAAGAUCUUGUGUUUAUGGGUUACUGAAGAAGGACUCGAUCAAUGACAGCUCUCAGAGGUGCAGAACCACUGAAUGUUCCUCCUGAAGCCAGUGGGCAUGGAGAUUGGCUCCUGUCAUCUGUGUCAUCCUGUGUCACCUCCAGAGGAGGGUGGCCUGAGUAAUGCGAACAGAGAUGGGACAAUAUUCGCAGCAUUGCGGGCAUCCAAUUAUUACAUGCAAAACACAGGAUGAGAUGAUGAGUAUAUUGCAGAAGAGUGAAGACUGAUGAAGUCAUAUUAAUGAAAAAUUCAAGCAUUAGUCAAAUCAUAGAGAUUUAAGCCUCUGUUAUGGUCAGCAUAGAGGUUUAAGCCUCUAUUAUCCUUUAUUAGUUAUAGGUAAAUCCUGAACCAACUGUAUUGAUGGACAUUUUUCAAGAUACAGAAAUGUGAUUUUAUAAACCCAUAUACCUUUUGUUAAUUACCAGAAGGUCUUACAUCUGUGGCAUCGCCAGUCACAGGUAAUUUAUAAAAUGCAACAUUAACGGCUUUGUUGUUCUCAUGAGUGUGGUAAGAGCUGAAUAGUGGAGAAGAAAAUACUAAUUGAAAAAU